GAUGAAGAACGUAGCGAAAUGCGAUAAGUAAUGUGAAUUGCAGAAUUCAGUGAAUCAUCGAAUCUUUGAACGCACAUUGCGCCCGCUAGUAUUCUGGCGGGCAUGCCUGUCCUAGCGUCAUUUCAACCCUCAAGCCCCCGGGCUUGGUGUUGGGGAUCGGCGAGCCUCCGCGCCCGCCGUCCCCUAAAUCUAGUGGCGGUCUCGCUGUAGCUUCCUCUGCGUAGUAGCACACCUCGCACUGGGAAACAGCGCGGCCACGCCGUUAAACCCCCAACUUCUGAACGUUUGACCUCGGAUCAGGUAGGAAUACCCGCUGAACUUAAGCAUAUCAAUAAGCGGAGGA
rnacentral:misc_RNA from 1 species